rnacentral:rRNA from 1 species
UACGGAGGGUGCGAGCGUUGUUCGGAAUUACUGGGCGUAAAGGGCUCGUAGGCGGCCAACUAAGUCAGACGUGAAAUCCCUCGGCUUAACCGGGGAACUGCGUCUGAUACUGGAUGGCUUGAGUUUGGGAGAGGGAUGCGGAAUUCCAGGUGUAGCGGUGAAAUGCGUAGAUAUCUGGAGGAACACCAGUGGCGAAAGCGGCUUUCUGGUCCUUAACUGACGCUGAGGCGCGAAAGCAUGGGGAGCGAACGGGG